GACGAACGCUGGCGGCGUGCUUAACACAUGCAAGUCGAACGGAAAGGCCCUGCUUUUGUGGGUUGCUCGAUUGGCGAACGGGUGAGUAACACGUGAGUAACCUGCCCUUGACUUUGGGAUAACUUCAGGAAACUGGGGCUAAUACCGGAUAGGAUCUCCUGCUGCAUGGUGGGGGUUGGAAAGUUUCGGCGGUUGGGGAUGGACUCGCGGCUUAUCAGCUUGUUGGUGGGGUAGUGGCUUACCAAGGCUUUGACGGGUAGCCGGCCUGGGAGGGUGACCGGCCACAUUGGGACUGUGAUACGGCCCAGACUCGUACGGGAGGCAGCAGUGGGGAAUAUUGCACAAUGGGCGGAAGCCUGAUGCAGCAACGCCGCGUGCGGGAUGACGGCCUUCGGGUUGUAAACCGCUUUCGCCUGUGACGAAGCGUGAGUGACGGUAAUGGGUAAAGAAGCACCGGCUAACUACGUG
rnacentral:rRNA from 1 species